ACUUUUAUAUUCAUCGAGAGCGCGGCUUAUUAUACCUCCUACGGUCCCGCUUCCGCACCGUGCACCACUCAAUACAUGACUUUUCCGCUCGACUUUCCGCCAAUCUGCCCGCAAAUUGUAUUAAAAGCGUGGCUCCGACACUUAACACUUGGCAUGCGGUUUCAGCAGGCCUCCUGUUGUUUCAGACGUGUUGGUAGAAGGCAGCUCGACAUCGCGGUCAUCGGGUCCUGCCUCACAUACUGGGUUUCAUGUCGCGUGGUUGUGGAAGCUUUUCGUUUGACGAUCAUCGCUGCUGCUCUACACUUUGUGUACAUUUCAGAAUGGUGCAACACAAGCCAUUGUUCUUUAAGGAGACUUUCCAGGUAUUUGGAUAAUAAAGUGGUAGCCGGUAAGAACGCAAAAUCAAUUUCAUUUUUGAAGGCCUGGACCAACCUCUCUGCUGCGGUUAUAACCUCUCUUAAGGAACGCGAAGGCUGAAACGGGAAUAUAAAAUAAUCAAGCACAUUUUAAGCUCAACACCUAACCGUAUACGUAUAUCCUUGCAUGUACACUCGUUUUCCCAGGACUGGGCACCACCAGAUGUCAGCUGGACUGGGCAGUGAUUAAGUACAACUAGCGACGGACACCGGACAUGGGACACCAGCUGGCCCAGAAAGCCGCGCUUAGCUUGCCAGGUCUCAUUUUUCUCGCAGCUAGUGGCCGAGUUGGCAAUUAAAGAUAUGCACAUAUAUCGGUGUAUGGGCGCUGAGGACAAAUUCUCUGUAUUUUCUGUGAAUAUAAAUUGUAGAAAUAGGAAAAAACGUGCAACAGCUGUUUAGCGCUGGCCCAGGAUCAGCAAUCCAGGGUGGGGCGGCUGUCGCAUGC
ensembl:ncRNA lncRNA:CR46227 long non-coding RNA:CR46227